rnacentral:rRNA from 1 species
GGCGGACGGGUGAGUAACGCGUGGGUAACCUGCCGUCAUACAGGGGGAUAACAGUUGGAAACGACUGCUAAGACCGCAUAACCCGCUAGUGUCGCAUGACACGGACGGAAAAUAUUUAUAGGUAUGAGAUGGGCCCGCGUCUGAUUAGCUAGUUGGUAAGGUAACGGCUUACCAAGGCGACGAUCAGUAGCCGACUUGAGAGAGUGAUCGGCCACAUUGGGACUGAGACACGGCCCAAACUCCUACGGGAGGCAGCAGUGGGGAAUAUUGGACAAUGGGGGAAACCCUGAUCCCAGCGACGCCGCGUGAGUGAAGAAGUAGUUUCGGUAUGUAAAGCUCUAUCAGCAGGGAAGAUAAUGACAGUACCUGACUAAGAAGCCCCGGCUAACUACGUGCCAGCCGCCGC